GAUGCAUUCAGGAAGAGGGCGGGAAGUUUGCAGAACUUCCUACAGCUGGGGAAGAAAUCUGUGGGAGGGUCUGAUAUGGCCCCAGAUAACUUGCAGGGGAAGAGGAAGUCCUGUCCUCCCAGCCCAGCUGGGACUAGCAGUUG